UCAGGGCGGCAGCGGUGUCCCCGGCAGCCUGCGGCAGUGCGGGGACCGCCGGGGACCCGCACCAACCGAGUACCGCAGCUCUCGGCGCUCAGAGACCUGGACGGGAGAGUAACGUUCACCCACCGCCUGGAGUGACGAAUCUGAAGUAGCUUAAUGAGAUAACCUGCGAAAAUACAACUGACCCUGAGGCAGAAAGCGCCCUCCUUCCUUCCUCUGAUGUUUACCUUGGGUUUCGGGGUGACUGGACUGACCACAGAACUCUUCUGAGAUCCUGUCUUCUCCUGUGAUGUGUUCCUGCUGCCACGGGGAAUUCAAUGCACGGCAUAAAGCAGUACAGAGGCCAAUACUAUGUUCCCUCCAACUGGUCUUCAUUAUGUGAUAUCCUUUCUCUAGAGCUAAGCCAGGAGGUCGAUCAGAAAGACCCACGGGACAGAAUUCACUACUAGUGUCAAUAUGGGUAACCCCGUGGAGGAGCAUGGAGGUGUACACUCCUUCUUGAGCUGAUUACAAGUCUGGAUGGUCAACCUUUGGGCCAGGUUUGACUUUCUGGAUUUUUAUGUUAAAGAAAACAAAACUACCGCUUUUUCAAAUAAGCCGACUCUUCUUGCAGCAU